rnacentral:rRNA from 1 species
UCGAGAAUCUUCCGCAAUGGGCGAAAGCCUGACGGAGCGACACCGCGUGCAGGACGAAGGCCCUCGGGUUGUAAACUGCUGUCACGCUCUAGGAAUGCCAUGUCGUUAAUAGCGGCAUGGUUGACCAAGGCGAAAGGAAGUGGCGGCUAACUCUGUGCCAGCAGCCGCGGUAAGACAGAGGCCACGAACGUUGUUCGGAAUCACUGGGCAUAAAGCGCACGUAGGCGGCUAGGUCCGUCCAAUGUGAAAGCCCCCGGCUCAACCGGGGAAUUGCAUCGGAUACAGCCUGGCUUGAGGACGGUUGGGGUGAGUGGAACUCCUGGUGGAGCGGUGAAAUGCGUAGAUAUCAGGAGGAACACCGGUGGCGAAAGCGGCUCACUGGACCGUAACUGACGCUGAGGUGCGAAAGCUAGGGGAGCAAACGGGNUUAGAUACCCACGUAGUCCCUGAGCGGGCUGGCAAGGCGCAU